UACGUAGGGUGCGAGCGUUAAUCGGAAUUACUGGGCGUAAAGGGUGCGCAGGCGGUUGCGCAAGUCAGGCGUGAAAUCCCCGGGCUUAACCUGGGAAUGGCGCUUGAAACUACGUGACUGGAGUAUGGCAGAGGGAGGUGGAAUUCCACGUGUAGCGGUGAAAUGCGUAGAGAUGUGGAGGAACACCGAUGGCGAAGGCAGCCUCCUGGGCCAAUACUGACGCUCAUGCACGAAAGCGUGGGGAGCAAACAGG
rnacentral:rRNA from 1 species